GCGCCCGUGGUGAAAUGGAUAUCACAUCAGUCUUCGGAACUGAUUUUGGGGGUUCGAGUCCCUCCGGGCGCA
rnacentral:tRNA from 1 species